ensembl:lncRNA
CAAACUCUUUGAUUUCUUAAUGUUCUUACAAGUGCACUCUUAGAAAAGUCCUACCUUGGUACUAAGUAUUGAUUUCAAAGCUCCAGUUGCAAGAACAUGGAUCCAAAAUGUGCCAAAAGUGCCAUAUUUUCUGGAGAUAAUGGAGAAGGUUCUUCGACUAAAUUAUUCUUUUGCUGCUCUGUCAUUACUUGUGAGAAGCAUUUAGGGCACAGAGAGAGAGCAGUAUUGAUAGCAAUGACACAGAAUGAUAACUUAUGGGUUCUUUAGGCUCCACCACACCACUAAAUCGUGUCUCUCAGAGCAACAUUAAGCUUUUCUUGAACACCUGCAGGGAUGGUGACUCCAUCACCUUCCUGGGCAGCCUGAUCCAAUGCUUCACUAUCAUUUCUGAGAAGAAAUGUUUCCCAGUAUCCAACCUGAACCUCCGCUGACUCAGCUUAAAGCCAUUACUUCUUGUUCUGACUCUAAUUACCUGGGAGAAGAGGCCAAUCCCCGCAGUUGUGUUUGUCCUUGGUCUAUUAGUCUGACUUCGAUCCAUGAGUCUGAAAGAAUAAUUAAAAACAUGAAGGAACUUCCCAGAAAAGUGCAAAGAAGAUUGCUGCUAUCUGGAGAAUGCCGAGGGUUAUUAUUUGUUUAAUUAUUUGUGAGUGAAUGAAACAAUGUAAUAAAUUUUGUCUACAAACUAGAAAAUAUUAAUUUAUUUUCUAGGACAAACCAGUAGUUUUGUUUAGAAAAGGUUGGGUUUUUUUUUGUUGUUGUUUUUUUUGGUCGUUGUUGGGGUUUUUUUUUGGCAACAAAGGGAAAACACAGAAAACACAGAGGAUAGCUUUUCAGUUGUUUUCUAUUAGGAGUUUGAUUGCUUACUUGUGGCUAGGUUUAGAAGGCAGUGGCUGUUCAAACAAUUGAUACAUCUCCGAUAAAAUAUUUCAAGAAUAAGUGUAGAAAACUAAAACUUCGAUCUCAGUAAUUGAAUAUAAUCAUGACUUACAUUACACGGUUUGCAAUUAUUGGCAUAAAUAUUCAUUAAAGAUCCACGUAAACAUAAAUACUUUAUGCUGCACACAAGUAGGCACCAUCAGCAGCUGGGAUGCUUUGUUUCAAUAUUUAAAGGUCAAAGGCUUGAUCUCUGCAUUCCUAUUUCUACUGUUGCAGAUUGACUUGAUUCAUAGGAAUUCUGUUUAUAUACACAAUAUGACAUCACCCAGCAAUUUACAGCUGAGAGGUGGCUGUAUGGGCCAUGAUUAAAAGGGUAGUACUGUAGAAAUGUCUUACCUGUAUCUUCAUGGGCUUCAUUCAAAAAACCUAAAUGAAUAAUUCUUACCAAUAAAGAUUUUUAACAACUGUGAAUAAAAGAGACUUUACAAGUUGCAGAAAAAAAUGUCAGUUGUGGAGCAUUAUGGAUUCAUUUUUAGGGUUGAUUCAAGGAUACCACGGCCAAGCACUGGUGCCUGGCAAGACCAAACAGAACACACUAUUCUAGUCCAGGUGAUUACCUUCCAUUAUUAAGUGAUAAAAAGUGGAAUUGCUCUCAUUUCUUACCUGCUGAUUUACUGUGAAUUCAAAGAAAUUACUUCACCUUUUCAUUAUUUUUCUUCUUUCUGUAUGAAAUGAAAUUAAGAUAUAAUUUACUAUUGUCUACCUGAGCCAAUGAAAAGUAGUGAAAUCACCUGUAUAAUUAUUUUCAACAGAGCUAUAUCAGAUGUCCCACAUUUUAUUUAUUUAUUUUUCUAAGCAUCAACGAAAUCCCUCUUUCUGACAGAGCUGCUCUUUAAUCAGAAUAAUUCCAAUUAUGCUGCCCAUGGAAUGGCGCAACGGAGAUCUAAACUCUUUUGUUUUCCAAUAAAGCAACUCAUCUUCAUAUCACUAAAAUCUGACAUCCUAAAAUAGACCGACUAGAAUUUUGAGGGUUGAAAUGUAUCAUGCCAGUAUGAAAAACUUUCAUAUUGCAAGUUAUGCUAUUAGAAAUCCUGUUAUUAAACAUAAUCAGAAAAAGGGAAAAAAAUAUACUCAAUUUAAAAAAAUAUAUAAAAAUAAAUCAAGCACAUAUUUUCCACUUACCUUGCCAGUAGAAAAUAUAUAAAUAAAAAAGUUUUAAACUAAUAGUUUCUUAGCAAUUUUGAACAGUCCUAAAAUGCCAAAACAGGCGAUGUUUAAGAAUAAAUAGCAGCUUCGAAGCAGUAAUGUUAUUGCAGACAGUCAGAGAGCACAGAGUUGAGAUGAACUCUGACGUCUGUUAGCUGUAAUAGUGCAC